CAGCAGCCGCGGUAAUACGUAGGUGGCAAGCGUUGUCCGGAAUUAUUGGGCGUAAAGCGCGCGCAGGCGGAUCGGUCAGUCUGUCUUAAAAGUUCGGGGCUUAACCCCGUGAUGGGAUGGAAACUGCCAAUCUAGAGUAUCGGAGAGGAAAGCGGAAUUCCUAGUGUAGCGGUGAAAUGCGUAGAUAUUAGGAAGAACACCAGUGGCGAAGGCGACUUUCUGGACGAAAACUGACGCUGAGGCGCGAAAGCCAGGGGAGCGAACGGGAUUAGAGACCCGCGUAGUCCCUGUCUCUUAUACA
rnacentral:rRNA from 1 species